AUUGAACGCUGGCGGCAUGCUUUACACAUGCAAGUCGAACGGCAGCACGGACUUCGGUCUGGUGGCGAGUGGCGAACGGGUGAGUAAUACAUCGGAACGUGCCCAGUUGUGGGGGAUAACUACUCGAAAGAGUAGCUAAUACCGCAUGAGAACUGAGGUUGAAAGCAGGGGAUCGUAAGACCUUGCGCAACUGGAGCGGCCGAUGGCAGAUUAGGUAGGUGGUGGGAUAAAAGCUUACCAAGCCGACGAUCUGUAGCUGGUCUGAGAGGACGACCAGCCACACUGGGACUGGGACACGGCCCAGACUCCUACGGGAGGCAGCAGUGGGGAAUUUUGGACAAUGGGCGAAAGCCUGAUCCAGCAAUGCCGCGUGCAGGAUGAAGGCCUUCGGGUUGUAAACUGCUUUUGUACGGAACGAAAAGCUUCGGGCUAAUACCCUGGAGUCAUGACGGUACCGUAAGAAUAAGCACCGGCUAACUACGUGCCAGCCGCCGCGGUAAGAC
rnacentral:rRNA from 1 species